UUCAUUUUAAUGCAAACUUAAUUUUGUAUUUCCUGAUUUUUUAUAUACCAAGUAAAUUCAACAAAAUAUCAAUCUAAACUAGAUUUAAAGAAAAUCAUCAAGAAUUCACAAUAUAACUUCAAGACCGUUGUGUGCCCUAAUACUCGAAAUCAAAAGUCUCAUCCACUGCCAACUUGAUCCGUUCUCAAGGGAACAGAGGGUCUCCUUCAAAUAUCUCCGUCCUAGAUACUUUUCGUUUUGAAAAUUUCAACCUUAACUUGCUCGAUCGCGAGGUCUACUUUGGUUUUGUUUAUGAAUUAGGAUUCCAAGAUUUAUGGUCUGCUUGAGUUUUUUUUAAACAGAAUUAUAAUAAUAAUGUGUUAAAAAUUAUAAUAAUAAAUUGAAAGAUUUUCGGGAAAUCAUAAUAAAAAUACCACUAAUUUGUGCAUAGUUUUUAAAAGAUACAAUAACUUUUUCUUUGUAUUUGAGCAGAUAGUUUUUUUCUUCUUUUUUUUUGGCUUCAACAAUUAUUUUGAUAUAUCUAAGAACAUUCUCAACAGAGAAAGGAAGGGAUAAUUUAGCAAAAGAAUCCGACUGUACAUGGUAGUUUCCAUCAACAAAUUAGAAAUUAAAAUUUAAAUAUUGAAAAACAAAGAGAGCAAUUUUAAUAUUAAAAAGAAAUGAUCACAGAAGAUUCUUCUAAAUGUUUUGAUUAU
rnacentral:lncRNA from 1 species